rnacentral:tRNA from 1 species
CAGGGAGACAACAAAAUGUUUAAUAUUAUUAUUUUGUCACCUUAGGUCGAUCGGUAUCUCACGUUCUUAAUUUAUUAAGAAUUUCAUUUCCUAAGUUUUUCUAGGUCACACCCAUUAUUUUUCCUGGGCCAUUAGCUCAGGUGGUUAGAGCGCACCCCUGAUAAGGGUGAGGUCCCUGGUUCAAGUCCAGGAUGGCCCAUAUCUCUAUGUUGGGGGUAUAGCUCAGUUGGUAGAGCGCCUGCUUUGCAAGCAGGAUGUCAGCGGUUCGAGUCCGCUUACCUCCACUGAUCACCACCUCUUCCAUAAUCGAUAGAAAGGAAAUGUUUUGAGUUGUGAUCUAAUUCUGAACGAAUCUAGCUUCCUAAUGAAAUUAUUAAGAUGCUGGACUCAUUGAAUUAAUUUCAUUGUUUUCAGAGAACCUUGACAACUGCAUAGAUUAUUUUUUAAAGACAAUAAGCAUCUUUAAUGAUGCAGAUUUAUUAUUUGUGCGAAUGCAUUAAUAACAAUUCUAUUAAGCUGAUGCUUCAAUUUUGAAGUUAUU